GCCCAGAUAGCUCAGUUGGUAGAGCAUUCCCCUGAAGAGGGAAGGGUCGUCAGUUCAAGCCUGACUCUGGGCA
rnacentral:tRNA from 1 species